rnacentral:ncRNA from 1 species
UUAAAGGCAAUGAGCAAAAGAGUAGUUUUAAAAUUCUUGAUAGAGAUCAGCUGGUAGGUGCAAAGCUGAAAAAUUUUAAAAUGAACCACAUUUGCUGGCUGAUAAAUUGAACUUUUAGUAGACUUAUCCGGUUUAACCGUUAUCUUGGAGUUUUAAAACUCGCUAAGUCUGACAGUGUGAAUUGUCAGAGUAGAUGAGGUGGUACCGCGAUUUUCGCCCUCUUA